GAUGAACGCUAGCGAUAGGCCUAACACAUGCAAGUCGAGGGGCAUCACAUGAAGUAGCAAUACGGAUGGUGGCGACCGGCGCACGGGUGAGUAACACGUAUGCAACCUGCCUUCAACAAGGGGAUAACCCGUUGAAAGACGGACUAAUACCCUAUAACACAGGGGUCCCGCAUGGGAAUAUUUGUUAAAGGACAACCGGUUGAAGAUGGGCAUGCGUUCCAUUAGCUAGUUGGCGGGGUAACGGCCCACCAAGGCAACGAUGGAUAGGGGAACUGAGAGGUUUAUCCCCCACACUGGUACUGAGACACGGACCAGACUCCUACGGGAGGCAGCAGUGAGGAAUAUUGGUCAAUGGACGCAAGUCUGAACCAGCCACGUCGCGUGAAGGAAGACGGCCCUACGGGUUGUAAACUUCUUUUAUACGGGAAUAAAGUGCCCCACGCGUGGGGUUUUGCAUGUACCGUAUGAAUAGGAUCGGCUAACUCGUGCAGCAGCCGCGGU
rnacentral:rRNA from 1 species